CAAUGUUUGACUCAGGGAGAUGGCAAAGGAAGAAGAUGCUUUCCCAAUCCAAAUCUUUAAUCUCAGUUUAGACGCAUCAAGGCCUUUGCAGGCCACCAUUUCCUUGAAUCUCUGUUCCAUGCAUUUCCUGUAGUCACCCUUUGUCAUACUUUCUACUGUGUCGAAGAACUCUGGAUCCAUUCCCUGGUUCAGCAAUGCCACAUAACUUCAGGCCUGAAAGCCACUUCCUUUAAGAGGGCAGCAACUUGAAAUGACGGGACUACCAAAACCACCCAGAAAGCAGAGAAAUCGAGGGUUGAGUCAACUAUGUCACCAAGUUCAAAUAUACCAAAGAGAAAAAAAUCAACCCUGAGCCAGCA
rnacentral:misc_RNA from 1 species